rnacentral:rRNA from 1 species
GAUGAACGCUGGCGGCGUGCCUAAUACAUGCAAGUCGAGCGAACAGACGAGGAGCUUGCUCCUCUGACGUUAGCGGCGGACGGGUGAGUAACACGUGGAUAACCUACCUAUAAGACUGGGAUAACUUCGGGAAACCGGAGCUAAUACCGGAUAAUAUAUUGAACCGCAUGGUUCAAUAGUGAAAGACGGUUUUGCUGUCACUUAUAGAUGGAUCCGCGCCGCAUUAGCUAGUUGGUAAGGUAACGGCUUACCAAGGCAACGAUGCGUAGCCGACCUGAGAGGGUGAUCGGCCCACUGGGAAUGGAGACACGUCCCAGACCCCUAGGGGAGGCAGAAGUGGGGAAUCUUCCGAAAGGGGCGAAAGCCUGACGGAGCAACGCCGGGGGAGUGAUGAAGUUUUUCGGAUCGUAAAACUUUUUUAUUAGGGAAAAAAAAAUGUGUAAGUAACUAUGCACGUUUUGACGGUACCUAACCAGAAAGCCACGGCUAACUACGU